rnacentral:rRNA from 1 species
AACGCUAGCGGCAGGCCUAACACAUGCAAGUCGAGGGAGAGGUUACCUUCGGGUAACCAAAACCGGCGCACGGGUGCGUAACGCGUAUACAAUCUGCCUUUCACAUAGGGAUAGCCCGAAGAAAUUUGGAUUAAUACCUAAUGGUAUAUAAGAGCGGCAUCGUUUUUAUAUUAAAGCUACGGUGGUGAAAGAUGAGUAUGCGUUCUAUUAGCUAGUUGGAGAGGUAACGGCUCCCCAAGGCGACGAUAGAUAGGGGUUCUGAGAGGGAUGUCCCCCACACUGGUACUGAGAUACGGACCAGACUCCUACGGGAGGCAGCAGUGAGGAAUAUUGGACAAUGGUCGGAAGACUGAUCCAGCCAUGCCGCGUGCAGGAUGAAGGUCCUAUGGAUUGUAAACUGCUUUUGUAAGGGAAGAAUAAGGAGUACGUGUACUUUGAUGACGGUACCUUACGAAUAAGCAUCGGCUAACUCCGUGCCAGCAGCCGCGGUAAUACGGAGGAUGCGAGCGUUAUCCGGAAUCAUUGGGUUUAAAGGGUCCGUAGGCGGGCUGAUAAGUCAGAGGUGAAAGCGCUUAGCUCAACUAAGCAACUGCCUUUGAAACUGUCAGUCUUGAAUGAUUGUGAAGUAGUUGGAAUGUGUAGUGUAGCGGUGAAAUGCUUAGAUAUUACACAGAACACCGAUAGCGAAGGCAUAUUACUAACAAUUUAUUGACGCUGAUGGACGAAAGCGUGGGGAGCGAACAGGAUUAGAUACCCUGGUAGUCCACGCUGUAAACGAUGGAUACUAGCUGUUUGGAGCAAUCUGAGUGGCUAAGCGAAAGUGAUAAGUAUCCCA